GAUUCUUCCUCAACAGAUCACUUACGUAACUUGCCUGCAAGGUAUUCCUGGCAUCCCCGGCUGCCCCCCAAAAAGGGGAGAAGCCCCCUCGCCACUUUCCACCCCGCCGGCGCGCGAGCGCCCCCGAGCACAGUGCAGGAGGCAGAUUUGUUCGAGAACAAAAGAACGCUUGCCAAUCGGGACGCGCUCCCGAGAACAAGGGGGAACCCCUCUUCGGGGAUUUGGAAAGACUUUUUUUCUUCCCUUGAGCGAUCGCCCUGGUGUCUGACACAUGCAUGGCAACUUUUCUGAGCAGAUUUCAAAUGCAGAAUCAGACUCUUCUGCAACGAAACGGGCUCCCAAAAGGCCGCAGGCCCGCAGAAGUUAAGGGGAACGGGGCCACCUCAGAGGCUCUGGGAGGCGGUGCGGGGUGUUCCGAGCGCUCGGGCUCAGGAUUCCGCUGCCCCAAGCCCCCCUCGGCCAAAGCCCACUUUUUCAGCCGGGACCGGGACUGAGGUGACUCCGGGUUCCAGUAGUUCCCCGACCCAGGCGCGGCGUUCUUCUCAGCUCUCCCGGCAAAAAGCCAGUGGCGAACGAUCCCUUCUGCCCAGGACUGUGUAUUUAGUGCACUUAAAAGAGGGACAAAUCUUUCA